rnacentral:lncRNA from 1 species
GAAAGAUGAGGUAAUGCCAGAAGCAAUUCAAGGCCUUAUCGAUGUAUCGGUAUUGCCUCGCACAUCUAGGAGUACUGGCCAUGCACAUCACAACCAUAAACUUGUCGAGGAAAAUGCAAAAGAGAAGCAUCUUGUUAAUGAUUUUGAACCAAGGCCUAACCUCUCAGCUUAUGACGACGACGACGAAAAGCUCACAGAUUUUGAACCAAUGCCUACUACUGUCUCAGCUUAUCAUGAUGAUGCUUCUGAUAAGUCAUUUGUUAAUGAUUUUGAACCAAGGCCAGAUGCUUCUAAUUAUCAUGAAUAGGGGUCUGGGUUGGUGAAUGGUGAAUUAAUAUCAUGAGCCUAGCUAGGUAUAUAGUGCAUCAUGAUUGAUUGAUCCCUGUAUCGUUAAAGCCUAGGUCUAAUAUUUAAAAUAAGACGAUCAAUUUUUAUUUCCUUUUGUGAUGAAUAUGCAG